rnacentral:lncRNA from 1 species
CACGCUCGGAUAUUUCAGGUUUGGAUUUCCGUUAUGGGUCCCUGCAAAGCUAUUCGGAUUCAGUUGAUGGUCGCUAAGAUACAACCCGAACCCGACCCGUUGCCAGCCAUACCCGUUUUGGACCGAGCAAGACCAGGGUCCCCAGGUAUCCAUUUCGGGGUCAUCGGUCAUGGCCGUAGGCCUCUCUCCUCCUUCUCUCUGCUGAUCUCUCAAACCGGUCAAUCCACGCCGGGGCGGUCGCCAUAGAGCGAUGAGGGCGGCGACGGUGGUGGCGGUGGUC